UGUCUCACUAAGUUGCUUAGGGCUUUGAUAAGUUUCUGAGCCUUGCCUCAAACUUGCUUCCUCCUGCCUAGCCUCUUGAGUCACUGGGAUUACAGGCAUGUAUGUGCCACUGUGCAUAGGCUGAAUAUCAAUUUUUUUAAAAAGAUAGGUACAUUAAAAGUCAUUCUCAGCCUCAAAACUCCUUUAUGUUACUUCCAUUUUGCUCUCUCUUAGAAGCUGAUAUUUCUGAUAGGGAUGAAGCGGGAGACUUGUCUUGCAGAAGGUCUCAAAGUUGGAGAGUUAUUGCUAUUCUAAGUCCAGAUUUUGGGGCAAUUUAAUUUGGUCUGUUGGAUCUAUAAUUAGAGUUCACAAUAUCCUUCAGUCUGGGACCAAAUAGCAUUGGACUUUACAGUAGUCUGUAUAAUUUUCUUAUUCUAAUCUCAGAAUGGCCUAGUAUUCAGGAUCAGGAAAUGUAGUUUUUUUACUAUAGUGUUGUAUUUUUAAACGACAUCAACACUACAUGAAUGCCUACCACGACUACUGAGAGAAUAUUGUUGUAUACUAUCUCUGAACUUAAUUUGUCGUUGGCAGAAUUUACAGCUAAUAUCCUAUAUUUUGCCUCAUUGUUAAUAAACUAGCCAUGAAUAGAAGAGAAGCACUUUUCAUCAAGCAGAUUAGGGUAGUUAGUCCUCAUGUAAAGGUGAUCCUAUGUGAUGGUUGAAAACAAAUGACUUAGCAUGAUUAGAUUUGAUAAGUAAUGCCCAAUUAAUUUAUAGCUGUUUAUCUGGUUAUUUUCAGUAUAAGUAAUUUUGGGUAGUCUACUGGACCUUGAUACAAGAUUUAUUUUAUUACUGAUAACUGAAAAUGCACCAAACACAGAUAUACAUUCGACUUCAGCCUUCAUCCUUGGAAUUGGAUGACCUUUGGAGCUUUAAGAAGAUUAUAAACAGUAAACAUGGGAAAGUCUUAGAUCCUUCAGAAUCAGGAAAAUGUGGACCCCUCAUUUUCAUAUUUCUUUGGGGAUAAAGUUGGUGCAUAUUUGAUUUGUUUUAAGGGAUUUGCAACUCAGAAAUGUUUUAAUUGGAAAUCAGUCAAAUGUCCAACAUAGAAAUAAACAGGAAGACAACUUUAGAAUUGUGUGUGUGUGGAAUUAAAUCCCAUUUUUGGAGCAGCUAAAAAUUCUCUCAGCAGAAUGGAAAAGUUACUAAUGUGAGAUUCUUGUGAAAAGCAGUUUUCAGACAAUAAUAUGAUUCAUGGGACCAUGGAUAUGCUAAUCCAAGGUCUCAAGUAGUUCAGAAGAUUCAAACUGAGAUAUCUAUCGACAAGAAUAAGGUCUGAGAAAUGAUAAAUUAUAUUUUGCUGUGUUUUAUGAAAAUAUUGUGACGGUCAAAUAAAAGUGGAGGUGCUACAGGAGCAUUGGUGCACACUUGCCAUCCCAACUCUUUGGGAGACUAAGGCCUAAAGAUAGCAAGUUUGCUGACCAACUUAGUGUGACUGGCUCAAAAUAGAAAGGGCUGGGGUUGUAGCUCAAUGAUAAGAAUGAUUGGCUAGCACACAUGAGGCCCUUGAGUUCCAUCCUCAGUCCAGGGGUAGGGGUGGACAAAACCUACUUAUAAAUAAUAAGCACAUCGGUGCCAAUUCAGAAAAAAAGAGCUAUAGACUCCCAAAUGCAGAAUCAUACCUAGGAACUGGAACAGCCAUUUUGAUGCUUACACCGGCAUUGUCUGCCAUUUGUAUUCACAUCAUUCUAUCCAGUAGUUUCUGAUUUUCCUGUUCCUUACCCCAUAGCUUGAGGCUGGGACAGACACAGGUAGACAGAACCAAUUAGAUUCGUUGUGCAGGAUCAUCAACAAACCUGGCUUACCCCAGUGAAUAGGAAGGCUGAUCUUCGUGAUCAUGGUUAAUUUUAUAUGCAUCAUAGAAGUUGUCUUACAAAACUCAAAUGCCAGGAAAGUUUUGUUUUUUAAGUAAAUGUAAGUAUUAGUAUAUAAUAGGUCAUUAUGGCUACUAGUGUUUAUUAUGUGUAUCAUGUCUGUUUCUUUAAAUUCAUAAUCCCACUUUAUAAAUAAGAAAAUAGAGAAAGUGCAUAGUUCCCUGAUGUCAUCCUGUCAGCAAGUGGUAGAAUGAAGUUUCAAACCUAGGUUCCUUCAGUCAACACCCAAAGUUCUAGGCACUGGAGAUACAGCAGUGAACAAAGGAUCUGCUGAUUUUUCUGAAGCCCUUAACCAUGAUUAUACACCAAAAAAAAAAAAGGAUUGCCCAGGACUACUUAGCCAAUUAAUAGAGCUGGAGCCACAUUUGACCACUACACUAUAUUGCUUUUCAAACAGCCUUACCCAAAAGCACUGGCUAGAGGAUUUUCAGCCAUAGAUUGCCUUGAAAACUCAAUAAUCAAUUCUUAAUUAUAGCUCUUUUCUGUUAAAAUCAUGUGACUUUUGUUAGUAACCACAGAUAUACUGCUUACACAUGCACCCCCAACCACAUUUGGGAGACAUUCUAGCAAUUUAAUGAGAGUUGAGAAGAAAUACAAGGCUCCAUAUUUCCAAGCCCUUUCCAGAAGACCAGUCUUAACUUCAGUUAAUAUUGACUCUCUACACCUACAGUAACCUGAGUAAUAUUUGAUAUAAAUUUCUCUUUAUUAACUGUAUAUGUGUAAAAGUUUGAUGUUUACCCUUCAAACCGCCUACCUUUCACCACAGAGUAUUCAAGUUUCAGGGUGAAAAUCUGGGGUGUGGUUAUAAAAAAUACAAAACCUGUAUACUAACCUCUUGUAGACAGUGUAUUCCCUAUAAAGGAAGCACUUAGGCUGAAAAAUGUGUUCCUAUAGAUUUUGGAUUUCCUUCUAAUGAUCUCAGUUUCCUUCUGUAUGCAUAAUAACAAAACAGUGCCCUAGAAGCCACUUCAGUGCACAUUAAAUGGCUAUUAGAAUUUUGAAUCUAGGCCUUGUGCAAUGUGGAUCAGGCUCUGUGGAAUUGGUUAGCAAUAUUGAGAUUCCUGACAGUUGAGCAAACACAGAGCAGGAUUUUGUCCUAAAUUUUUUUGGAAACCCUAUCCAAAGUUGCUACUUGAAUGUCCUAGUUUUCUCUUGCAGGGAAAAUCUCUUGCUUUGUGUAUUCCCAUCUUUGCAGAUCACCAUUUUCUUGGAGAACAGCAUCAUAAAAUGAUAAUCAGCAUUUACGGAGCACCUUUUGUGAGCCUACUUGAGCAGUAGACAUCCUUAUGGAAUGCUCUAAAAUUGUUCUUGCACCUGCUCUCAAGUCAUUUAUAAUUUAAUAGCUGGUCUUCCUGGUAUGAACAAAGUUGUUUGCUUGCUAAUAAAUUCCUACCCACAUAUCCUGACUUGUGGUCAUUUUUACCUAAUCUAGGGCAAAUGCUAGAAUUUUCUAAUAAGGGAUGAAACUGACCUGAGUGUCCACCUGCUUUGGUAAAGAUGCUUGGUUUGAAUAGGAAAUAUUUUGUAUCCAAAAAUCCUUAUAUUAAUUUGGAAUAUUGUAAAAGUCUUGGCAGCAGAUGCCAGAAAAUAUGCCUAAUGGUUGGUGAUAGUGUUUUGCAUGAUUUUAAAGAAUUAGUUUUUAUCCUUUCAUUCUGACCAACUUGCAAUAAAGUAGGCUAAAAAAUGUAUUUUUAAAGAACUCUGUGAUGUGUUCUUGUAAAAUAUUUAGUACAAGUCAGUGCCUUACAGUGAUAAAAUGUUUGCACACCAACUAAUGUAAAUAUGAUUGUUGGUUCUGUAAAAUUGAUUUACAGAUUCCAAAUGCUGUUUUGGGGGGAAACUGGAUUGUGUGCCCUCUAAGAUAAAUUUCAUUAUCAAGCACCUAACCCUGAACAGAUAGACACCCCCAAAUCACUGAAUUGAGCAGAUCAGAUAGGUCAGCAAAGAGUUGGAAACAGAUGUCCCCAGAAUAGGAAUUCUUGCCUUGUUUUAAAUUGACAUAUAGAAAUUUAUUUAUAGUAAAUUGCAUACACAUCUUAAGUGUUCAGUUUGGUAUUUUGGCCAUGGUGCACAUCUGUGUAAUAACCACCCAGAAAAAGCUAUAGAAUAUUAAAAUUAAGUUCUCAUCAAGUACCUUUAAAAUCUUCUUUGAGCCCCAUCCCACUCCAGUGAUCACUUGAUGGUUUUUAAUCACUGAUGAUUUGUUUUGCCUGUUUUGAAUUUUAUAUAAAUGGAUCAUACAACACAUACUCUUGCAUCUGGUUUCUUUCAUUUAUAACAUGUUAAAGACUCAUCCAUAUUGUGUGUAUGAGUAGAUUGUUCUUUAUUGCUGAAUAGCAUUUCAUUGUAUAAAUAUACCCCAAUUUGUAUAUCUUUUUGAGUAGGCUGUUUCUGGUUUGGGGCAAUUUGAGCGUUUUGUGUUUUUGUUUUUUUACUUUUUUGUAAAUACAUGUUUUCAUUUCCCUUAGAUAAAUACCUAAGAGUAAAAAAUUUAUAGGUGAUAUGGUAAGCUUGUAUUUAUAUAAAACUGCACUCCUUUUCUCUACAGUGGUUUUACUAUUUUACUAUGCCUUUCAGUGAUAUAUGAAGUUCCA
rnacentral:lncRNA from 1 species